CAUGCAUACCUGAUUUACGGGAAAAGAAUAAAUAUCAGCACAAACGCAUUUGUGUGCUCGUCCUAGCAUUUACUUGGUGAACAUGCAAAGCACAACCGAUAUUAAAGGUUCACAAAGAUGUGUUGGAAUUGGUGCUGCUUCUUCAAGCUCCUCAACUUCUCUGGCUGCCAUGAUCAUCUCUCAACGCACUGAACCUCAGAUUGCUGCAAGUGUUGCUGGUGCUCGCAUUGACGCAGAUCUACUGGACCAAGGAUAGAAGAAGUCGCACUACUAGAGCAAAAGCGUUUUUUACGUUUUUCUUUUGUUUUAGUUCCUAUGUACAAUUAGCGACUACGUCAUUUAUUCUCUCUGUGAUUGGGUAGUUGCUGAUUUGUUAGAUUUUUGGCAGUAGUUUUUGUUAUUUAAACCGGCCUUCGUCUUCUUCAUUCUUUCUCUGUAAGAGAAUUGCAACAAGGAUGAAAUCUAUGGCAGAGCUUCGCCUCUCUUCCGGUCAAUUUUGCAUCUUUUUUGUUCUGUUGGAUUGCAAUCUCGACAUGGUAUCAGAGCCUUCAUCUUGAAGGUCUCUCGAUACUUUUUUGUUUUUUUUUUUUAUAAUUUUCACAAAUCACUGCAAUUACGAACCUUGAUCAUGACGGAUUCGCCAACAUUGGAGGCAGAUCAAUAUGAGAGGGAGGUUCUGUACCUCCAUCCUUCUGAUGAUUCCAGCUUUGUGCUGGCUUCCUCACCAGCUUGGUUUUAUUUGUGAAUUAAUAAAAGGACAAGUAGAUAAACAGUGAAAGUGUUAGAUACAGCAUACAGGACCUUAAAAUAAGAUGAUGAGUGGUAAAGGAGAGAUGUCGUUGUGGAUGGAGCGAUGGAGGAGAGGGAGCUCACAGAAGCAGCCAUGGCAGGUAAGAUAAAGAUGGAUUUGACUUCGACUGCUCACUGUAAAAUGUUUUACCAUCCAACGGACAGAGGCCUGGGCUCCCCCCCUCUAUUUUUUUUAUUUUAUUAUUGUUAUUAUUAUAAAUUUUAUGUUAUUUUAUUUUC